GGGCCCGCACAAGCGGUGGAGCAUGUGGUUUAAUUCGAUGCAACGCGAAGAACCUUACCAGGGCUUGACAUACUACAGAUCUUUUUGAGAAAGAGGAGUGCCUUCGGGAAUGUAGAUACAGGUGGUGCAUGGCUGUCGUCAGCUCGUGUCGUGAGAUGUUGGUUAAGUCCCGCAACGAGCGCAACCCUUAUUUUUAGUUACCAACUUGUUGGGUUCUCUAGAAAGACUGCCGGUGACAAACCGGAGGAAGGUGAGGAUGACGUCAAGUCAGCAUGCCCCUUAUGUCCUGGGCUACACACGUGCUACAAUGGCUAAGACAAAGAGUCGCGAGUUCGUGAGAACCAGCU
rnacentral:rRNA from 1 species